rnacentral:rRNA from 1 species
UACGAAGGGGGCUAGCGUUGCUCGGAAUCACUGGGCGUAAAGCGUGCGUAGGCGGAUGUUUAAGUGCAAUGCGAAAUCCUGUGGCUCAACCAUAUGGACUGUAUUGCAUACUGGAUAUCUGGAGGAAUGCAGAGGCAAGUGGAAUUACCGGUGUAGCAGUGAAAUGCGUAGAGAUCGGUAGGAACACCAAUGGCGAAGGCAGCUUGCUGGGCAUUUUCUGACGCUAAGGCACGAAAGCGUGGGGAGCGAACAGG